AUUGAACGCUGGCGGAAUGCUUUACACAUGCAAGUCGAGCGGCAGCGCGGGGCAACCUGGCGGCGAGCGGCGAACGGGUGAGUAAUGCAUCGGAACAUGUCCAUGUCGUGGGGGAUAGCCCGGCGAAAGCCGGAUUAAUACCGCAUACGUCCGAGAGGAGAAAGUGGGGGACCCGCAAGGGCCUCACGCGAUUGGGUUGGCCGAUGUCCGAUUAGCUAGUUGGGAGGUAAAGGCUCACCAAGGCGAUGAUCGGUAGCUGGUCUGAGAGGAUGAUCAGCCACACUGGGACUGAGACACGGCCCAGACUCCUACGGGAGGCAGCAGUGGGAAUUUUGGACAAUGGGGCAACCCUGAUCCAGCCAUUCCGCGUGAGUGAAGAAGGCC
rnacentral:rRNA from 1 species